UGAAUACGAGACGCUAAGGCGUCGAAGUAGUGUAUGUCAUACUUCCAAGAAAAGCUUGCACUGUCAUAGAUAAAAAACGCCUGUACCAUAACCGACACAGGUGGGUAGGUAGAGUAUACUAAGGGGCGCGAGAUAACUCUCUCUAAGGAACUCGGCAAAAUAACUCCGUAACUUCGGGAGAAGGAGUGCCUUAUUCUUAAGGUUGCAAUAACAAGAUCCAAGCAACUGUUUAUCAAAAACACAGGUCUCCGCUAAGUCGUAAGACGAUGUAUGGGGGCUGACGCCUGCCCAGUGCCAGAAGGUUAAAGAAGCUGGUUAGCAUUUGCGAAGCUAGUAACUGAAGCCCUGGUGAACGGCGGCCGUAACUAUAACGGUCCUAAGGUAGCGAAAUUCCUUGUCGGGUAAGUCCCGACCCGCACGAAAGGCGUAAUGAUUUGGAUACUGUCUCGGAGAGGGGCUCGGUGAAAUAGACUUGUCUGUGAAGAUGCGGACUACCUGCACCAGGACAGAAAGACCCUAUGAAGCUUUACUGUAACUUGAAAUUGAAAUUGGACUUUAUUCGCGCAGUAUAGGUGGGAGGCGUUGAUUAUAAUCUUGCGGGAUUAUUGGAGCCAUUAGUGAGAUACCACUCUUGUAAUGUUAGAUUUCUAACUUUGAAUCAUUAUCUGGUCAAAGAACAGUUUCAGGCGGGCAGUUUGACUGGGGCGGUCGCCUCCUAAACGGUAACGGAGGCGUACAAAGGUUUCCUCUGAACGGUUAGAAAUCGUAUCUAGAGUGUAAAGGCAUAAGGAAGCUUGACUGUGAGACCUACAAGUCGAGCAGGGACGAAAGUCGGUCUUAGUGAUCUGACGGUACUGAGUGGAAAGGCCGUCACUCAACGGAUAAAAGUUACUCUAGGAUAACAGGCUGAUCUCCCCCAAGAGUUCACAUCGACGGGGAGGUUUGGCACCUCGAUGUCGGCUCAUCGCUCCUGGGGCGGUAGUACGUCCCAAGGGUUGGGCUGUUCGCCCAUGAAAGCGGUACGCGAGCUGGGUUCAGAACGUCGUGAGACAGUUCGGUCCAUAUCCGGUGUAGGCGUUAGAAUAUUGAGAGGAGCCUUCUUUAGUACGAGAGGACCGAGAAGGACAUACCUCUGGUGUACCAGUUAUCGUGCCAACGGUAAACGCUGGGUAGCUAUGUAUGGAGUGGAUAACCGCUGAAAGCAUCUAAGUGGGAAGCCCACCUCAAGAUAAGUAUUCCC
rnacentral:rRNA from 1 species